rnacentral:rRNA from 1 species
GACGAACGCUGGCGGCGUGCUUAACACAUGCAAGUCGAACGCUGAAGCUCAGCUUUUGUUGGGUGGAUGAGUGGCGAACGGGUGAGUAACACGUGAGUAACCUGCCUCCUUCUUUGGGAUAACGCCCGGAAACGGGUGCUAAUACUGGAUAUUCACUGGUCUUCGCAUGGGGGUUGGUGGAAAGGGUUUUUCUGGUGGGGGAUGGGCUCGCGGCCUAUCAGCUUGUUGGUGGGGUGAUGGCCUACCAAGGCUUUGACGGGUAGCCGGCCUGAGAGGGUGACCGGUCACAUUGGGACUGAGAUACGGCCCAGACUCCUACGGGAGGCAGCAGUGGGGAAUAUUGCACAAUGGGCGCAAGCCUGAUGCAGCGACGCCGCGUGAGGGAUGGAGGCCUUCGGGUUGUGAACCUCUUUCGCUCAUGGUCAAGCCGCAACAAUGGCUGUGGUGAGGGUAGUGGGUAAAGAAGCGCCGGCUAACUACGU